rnacentral:rRNA from 1 species
AAUUCGAUGCAACGCGAAAACCUUACCCACCUUUGACAUGUACGGAAUCCUUUAGAGAUAGAGGAGUGCUCGAAAGAGAGCCGUAACACAGGUGCUGCAUGGCUGUCGUCAGCUCGUGUCGUGAGAUGUUGGGUUAAGUCCCGCAACGAGCGCAACCCUUGUCAUUAGUUGCUACAUUCAGUUGGGCACUCUAAUGAGACUGCCGGUGACAAACCGGAGGAAGGUGGGGAUGACGUCAAGUCCUCAUGGCCCUUAUAGGUGGGGCUACACACGUCAUACAAUGGAUGGUACAAAGGGUCGCCAACCCGCGAGGGGGAGCCAAUCACAUAAAGCCAUUCGUAGUCCGGAUCGCAGUCUGCAACUCGACUGCGUGAAGUCGGAAUCGCUAGUAAUCGCGGAUCAGAAUGUCGCGGUGAAUACGUUCCCGGGUCCU